CACAUUGUUAAAACACUGAAGUGAAAUUCAACAAGAUAGAUCUUUGGAGGACUUGCUUUUCCACUCAUGCUAUUUCUUAUGCAGGGUAAGAAUACGCAAGAGUUGUCUUUAUGGUGUAGUUUUUGCCAGAAUUCUGACUCAACAACAGUUGGACCUUCUAGAUACAAAUGUAUUUUUACUACAAUCAAUUGAAACACUUUGACUGCACACAGGUUACAGAUGAUACAGAGAAUUUGGCUGCUUACCUGAGUGAGAAAUGGAGUAAUGAAGACAAAGAAAAUAUCAUAUACAAAGAGAACCACCAGCAGUAACGUGCAAGCCUGGAAUGAAGAAAAAAAAAACAUUAAGAG